rnacentral:rRNA from 1 species
UACGUAGGGCGCAAGCGUUAUCCGGAAUUAUUGGGCGUAAAGAGCUCGUAGGCAGUUUGUCGCGUCUGCUGUGAAAGACCGGGGCUCAACUCCGGUUCUGCAGUGGGUACGGGCAGACUAGAGUGCAGUAGGGGAGACUGGAAUUCCUGGUGUAGCGGUGAAAUGCGCAGAUAUCAGGAGGAACACCGAUGGCGAAGGCAGGUCUCUGGGCUGUAACUGACGCUGAGGAGCGAAAGCAUGGGGAGCGAACAGG